GACGAACGCUGGCGGCGUGCUUAACACAUGCAAGUCGAGCGAGGUCCAUCCGGUGGCAACACCGGAGAAGACCUAGCGGCGAACGGGUGAGUAACACGUGAGCAACCUGCCCCGAAGACCGGGAUAACAUCGGGAAACCGGUGCUAAUACCGGAUGCCCUCAUCGGACCGCAUGAUCUGAUGAGGAAAUGGAUUCCGCUUCGGGAGGGGCUCGCGGGCUAUCAGCUUGUUGGUGAGGUAACGGCUCACCAAGGCUACGACGGCUAGCUGGUCUGAGAGGACGACCAGCCACACUGGGACUGAGACACGGCCCAGACUCCUACGGGAGGCAGCAGUGGGGAACCUUGCGCAAUGGGCGAAAGCCUGACGCAGCAACGCCGCGUGGGGGAUGAAGGCCUUCGGGUCGUAAACCCCUUUCAGCAGGGACGAAACUGACGGUACCUGCAGAAGAAGCCCCGGCCAACUACGUGCCAGCCGCCGCGGUAAUAC
rnacentral:rRNA from 1 species